rfam:Marchantia polymorpha subsp. polymorpha scaffold2528, whole genome shotgun sequence.
AUACCUUUCUCGGCCUUUUGGCUAAGAUCAAGUGUAGUAUCUGUUCUUAUCAGUCUAAUAUCUGAUAUGAGGGUCAUCGACCCUCACGAUAUUAAUCUUAUUUCUUUCAUGGGUGCGAGUCCAAUGGGGUAGCUUGCUGCCUCGGACUCGCCAGUGUCGCCUCGGUAUUGCACUACCUCCCUGGCCGGCGCAGCCCUC